rnacentral:rRNA from 1 species
AUUGAACGCUGGCGGCGUGCCUAAUACAUGCAAGUCGAGCGAACAGACGAGGAGCUUGCUCCUCUGAUGUUAGCGGCGGACGGGUGAGUAACACGUGGAUAACCUACCUAUAAGACUGGGAUAACUUCGGGAAACCGGAGCUAAUACCGGAUAACAUGUUGAACCGCAUGGUUCAACAGUGAAAGACGGUCUUGCUGUCACUUAUAGUUGGAUCCGCGCCGCAUUAGCUAGUUGGUAAGGUAACGGCUUACCAAGGCAACGAUGCGUAGCCGACCUGAGAGGGUGAUCGGCCACACUGGAACUGAGACACGGUCCAGACUCCUACGGGAGGCAGCAGUAGGGAAUCUUCCGCAAUGGGCGAAAGCCUGACGGAGCAACGCCGCGUGAGUGAAGAAGGUCUUCGGAUCGUAAAACUCUGUUAUUAGGGAAGAACAAAUGUGUAAGUAACUAUGCACGUCUUGACGGUACCUAAUCAGAAAGCCACGGCUAACUACGUG